rnacentral:lncRNA from 1 species
GCUCGCCGCCGCCUCCGCUGCCGCCUUGAUAUAGUGCGGCGCGGGCGGCGCGGCCGCACUUGGCGAGCGGCGCUCGCGGCUGGGGCAGGCGGGCGUCGAAGCGGGUUGCCCGGCGCUCGGCCACCGCCAACUUGGGAAGUGUCCGCCCGGGCGAGCUCCCACCAUGAGCCGCCUCCUGCCUCUCUGCCUGCUCGGAUUGCUCCUGGGCGGCGGGCAAGGUUUCUUCACGCAGAGGAGGGGAUGACAGAACAAUUGGAGAGAAAAGUGGUACCGAAUGACUGGAAACUACUAAUAUACUACCAAGUCCUGUGGCGAAUGAAGCCAAAGAAAUGUAAUCCUGUCAUGGCUGCAUUCUAAUUCCUGUUCCAUGAAUCAAGAAAGGAUGAAAGUGCCUCUGCAAACUUAUCUAUAGCUCUCACUACUGGUGCUAUAUUAUAACUUUCUAAAGGCUAUUAAAGGUAAUGUAAUUUUUUCCAUAUAUAGAAAAGGGAAAAGUCAAAAUAUUUCUGAUACCAAAGUAUGAUAACUGUUGGUUAACAGUGUUUUUAAUGAGAACCAGUGGAAUAUAUAGUUCCGAAUUGUAGUUCAUCUAUCACUAAGUUUGACUGGAAUUAAAGAAACAGAAAAACUACUGUUUUCUAAUAUAUAGCAGCACAGCUAUUGUCAACACUUAUGAAUGUUUAUCCCCUUGUUGCUCUGCUGCCCUCUCCUUUUGGAUAAAUUCAUAAAGCAUUUCAGCUUUGUCUGCCCCUCUCCCCUCUGCUCCUGUAGUUCCAAGUGAAUUAAAGCCUUUCCAGUACUCCUGAGGUUUAAAAUUAGACUGCUCCCAUCUGGUGCCAUGGAUAAAGGGGAAAAUUCAGGUAUCUUGCCUACCAUUGCAUUCUAGUAAUGAAACUGGGUGCCUUGCGGUUUCUGCAGUAAGGAUUCCUCCUUUUGUUUUUCUUUCAAAGUAACUGCUGAGGCUGUCUAUGCCCAUCUUCUUAGAAGUAGGGCUGAGGACUCAUAUGGCAUGCCCUGAGCUGGCUGUUGAGAAUUAUUAUGAGUAUCCUGGAAACUUGGGGGCAUGUGGCACAGUCUAACUUGGAGUUGGAGUGGUGCAGACCACCUUGCAGGUGGGCAGACGGCACCACUGCCUGGCCAGCAUGCAGCCCUGCCUCUACUGACUUGUGAGAACGUGGGAGAAGGGGCAGCAUCCUGGGUUUCCAGGAUUUUCAUGUCAGCUUAGUAAAAGCCCUCCCUCCCCUUGCAGCUUGUUGAGCAGCUUUUCAUGUGUGAACAUAUAUAUGCAAAUUUCUUGCAGUGUAUCAUUCCUUACAUGUUGU